AUUGAACGCUGGCGGAAUGCUUUACACAUGCAAGUCGAACGGUAGAGGGGGCAACCCCUUGAGAGUGGCGAACGGGUGAGUAAUAUAUCGGAACGUGCCCAGUCGUGGGGAUAACGUAGCGAAAGUUACGCUAAUACCGCAUACGAUCUACGGAUGAAAGCGGGGGACUCGCAAGAGCCUCGCGCGAUUGGAGCGGCCGAUAUCAGAUUAGGUAGUUGGUGGGGUAAAGGCUCACCAAGCCAACGAUCUGUAGCUGGUCUGAGAGGACGACCAGCCACACUGGGACUGAGACACGGCCCAGACUCCUACGGGAGGCAGCAGUGGGGGAAUUUUGGACAAUGGGCGCAAGCCUGAUCCAGCAAUGCCGCGUGCAGGAUGAAGGCCUCGG
rnacentral:rRNA from 1 species